rfam:Sugiyamaella lignohabitans strain CBS 10342 chromosome A, complete sequence.
GGCACUAUGGCCGAGCGGUUAAGGCGAAAGAUUAGAAAUCUUUUGGGAUUUUCCCGCGCAGGUUCGAGUCCUGCUGGUGUCG